AGUUCUUGGGUGCAUGGGUGAUACUUUUGAUCUGUCAAAGUUUCUCAGAAGGGUUCUAUAUAUUCAUAAGCAGAGUAACCAGUGAAAGAGAAGAGACCCCAAGGAUGACUGUCAGCGCACCAACAGUGAUUACAGGUUUUCAUUGGACCCUGUGGUUUGCAUUACUGUUUGCAAAGUUGGGGAAGAUGAACCAGUGGAAGACGGCUGGGUGCCUUCCCUCUACAAGAUGGGCACCUUGCUAACUCUCUGAGAUGCUACGUUGGUUGACUUUGACAUUUCCCUGCCUUAUUGUACUGAAGCAUAUGCAGCUGCAACUCUGAGUCCUACAAUCAUCUAUGGCAUACUGUUAAAACUAUUUUGAAAUGCUUGAACCUACAAAUGUAUCCUCUUUACAAUGACAAUAUUCUAUAAUUUUGUGUUAGCCUUCCUUUAUGUUUGCUUGGAAUUUGGAAACAUUUUAGAAAAAAAAUUAUCUUGGUCAGCAUAUCACAAACAUUGAAU
rnacentral:lncRNA from 1 species